UACGAAGGGGGCUAGCGUUGCUCGGAAUCACUGGGCGUAAAGGGCGCGUAGGCGGCCGAUCAAGUCAGGGGUGAAAGCCUGAGGCUCAACCUCAGAACUGCCUUUGAUACUGUUCGGCUCGAGACCGGUAGAGGUAAGUGGAACUGCGAGUGUAGAGGUGAAAUUCGUAGAUAUUCGCAAGAACACCAGUGGCGAAGGCGGCUUACUGGACCGGUUCUGACGCUGAGGCGCGAAAGCGUGGGGAGCAAACAGG
rnacentral:rRNA from 1 species